rnacentral:rRNA from 1 species
UCAUGGCUCAGGACGAACGCUGGCGGCGUGCCUUACCCAUGCAAGUCGGACGAUCUCUUUUGGGCAACCGAGGGGGAUAGUGGCAGACGGCUGAGUAACACGUGAGGACCUGUCCAGUUGAGGGGGAUAGCCGCUCGUAAGAGCGGGUAAUACCGCGUAAGCAGACUGCGCGUAGGGCGCUUUCUGGAAAGCCGUGGUGACAUGGCGCGACUGGAGGGACUCGCGGCCCAUCAGGUAGUAGGCGGGGUGAGAGCCCACCUAGCCGAUGACGGGUAGCUGGUCUGAGAGGAUGGCCAGCCAGACUGGGACUGAGAGACGGCCCAGACUCCUACGGGGGGCAGCAGGGGGGGAUCUUGGUCAAUGGGGGAAACCCUGAACCAGCGACGCCGCGUGAGGGAAGAAGGUCCUUGGAUCGUAAACCUCUUUUGCCAGGGAAGAAGGCGAGGGCUCUGUAACAGGGGUCUUCCUCCUUACGGGUACCUGGCGAAGUAAGUCCCCGGCUAAACUACAGUC